rnacentral:rRNA from 1 species
GAAUUCGCCCUUAGAGUUUGAUCCUGGCUCAGAACGAACGCUGGCGGCAGGCCUAACACAUGCAAGUCGAACGAAGCCUUCGGGCUUAGUGGCGGACGGGUUAGUAACGCGUGGGAACGUGCCUUUCACUACGGAAUAGUCCCGGGAAACUGGGUUUAAUACCGUAUACGCCCUUCGGGGGAAAGAAUUUCGGUGAAAGAUCGGCCCGCGUUAGAUUAGGUAGUUGGUGGGGUAAUGGCCUACCAAGCCUACGAUCUAUAGCUGGUUUUAGAGGAUGAUCAGCAACACUGGGACUGAGACACGGCCCAGACUCCUACGGGAGGCAGCAGUGGGGAAUCUUGGACAAUGGGCGCAAGCCUGAUCCAGCCAUGCCGCGUGAGUGAUGAAGGCCUUAGGGUCGUAAAGCUCUUUCGCCAGGGAUGAUAAUGACAGUACCUGGUAAAGAAACCCCGGCUAACUCCGUGCCAGCAGCCGCGGUAAUACGGAGGGGGUUAGCGUUGUUCGGAAUUACUGGGCGUAAAGCGCGCGUAGCGGAUUGGAAAGUUGGGGGUGAAAUCCCGGGGCUCAACCCCGGAACGGCCUCCAAAACUCCCAGUCUUGAGUUCGAGAGAGGUGAGUGGAUU